AAAACUUUCAACAACGGAUCUCUUGGUUCUCGCAUCGAUGAAGAACGCAGCGAAAUGCGAUAAGUAGUGUGAAUUGCAGAAUUCAGUGAAUCAUCAAAUCUUUGAACGCACAUUGCGCCUUCUGGUAUUCCGGGAGGCAUGCCUGUUCGAGCGUCA
rnacentral:rRNA from 1 species